UGGUAUGACUAAAGCUAAGAAGAAAGUAUGGAUAAAUAACUGUUUUAAGAUUAGAAAAUGAAAAACGAUAUUAAAUAAUCACUAGUGCGUAAAAUCAGAAGAGUAACUAUGAGGAUUUGUUCCUGUGUUAUACGAACGUCGUUUGAAAAGUCCGCGCAAAGUCCGAGAGAUUACUGACGAGUAAUGAGAUUGGUAAAAUUUCUUUCCGUGUUGCAUUCGUUUGAAUGGAGGAAGUGGAGAGAUUUUCAAAAAAUGGAGGAAAAAGAAUUUCGUGCCUUCAUUAAAUAUGACUUUAUGAAAAGGCAAAUCGCCUCAAGAGACUAAAAAUAAGCUUGAUAAACAUUAUGGGGACUCUGCACCUUCAAUUUCAGAGUGGUUUCUCAAGUUGUUCUCAACUGUUCCUAGUUUCCUUCUCAUAUUACUUAUUUUAAGUACGAUACCUUCAGAAAAGAGAGUACAUUUUCUAAAGACACAGGAAUCCCCUCCAAUUGAUGGUGACGUGGUCUGGCUCCUAAUACUCACCGAUCCAGAGGAAUAUGAUGUUUUCUAGGUUCGAGUAUGACGCGCCAACUAUUGGAUUAUUUUGAAUCACGUUGUUUACAUCUCACACACCAUUGUUUAAUAAUCAAAUUACCCACGAUCAUUUUACCUAACAAUGUAAAUGAAGUUAAAAUACUAAUUGACCACUCUAUUGGAAACUUUAUAGAUUGCCCCAGCAUUUUGGUCAUUGCCCGUUCUGACGGGCAUGUUGCACAUUGUCAGAGUCCAUGUUUUUGUCUAUCAAGUAUCAAUUUAAAAAUUCAAAUAAAUAAUAUAAUUU
rnacentral:lncRNA from 1 species